AAAUAUAUUUCGUUGUUGUUGUUGAAUUUUGUUUUGUAUUUUUAUUUUGUAUACUCUGGCCCCGUGUAGCUUGUAAAUGAUUUAUGCAGACUUGCCAGCCAGUCAGGCCCACUGGCGGGCGGCAGGCUGGACAAAUGGCUGUGGGAAUUGUCGCAUACUCCCUUACACUUUAAUGCUGCUGUGUUAUGAAUAAUAACAUGGACUGCUUUUUGUUGUUGCUUCUUAGUUGUUGUUGUUGUAGUGCGUUUGCCCUGCUCUUUCACAUUUCGCGUCAGUGCGCAGAGCUUUGAAUAUUUUACGCAGGCAUAAAUAAUUUACAACAAUGAACGAAACACACGUUAAAAAACAAAAAGGAGAAAAGAGGAAAAGGAUAAAGCAGCAGCAUCGUAUAAAAACGGAAGAAAAGACCAGGGGCAAGGCGUGCUGCAUGCCACAGGGUCGCCUGGUCACAAAAUGCUGUUCGCUUCUUUGCCAACACUUGACAUAUGUGCCGGCUUUUGACCUCUUUCUGGAAGUGCGGGAGUGCCUGACACGCCUAUGAUAUGUGCGGCUCGUAAAUGAGACGGUAUGGGGCGAGAGGGCGUGACCAAAAACAAAAACAUUUGGCAGACGAGUGAGAAAAUGUAAAUGCUCAAAUGUUGUCUUUGCAUCUGAAUACGAGCAUUUUCUACGGAUUCGUUUGUGUUUGCAGUGAGUGAUGGCAGCUCAAAGAAAUGUCAACACUCAAAGCCUACAAGCCUACAAGCCUACAAGCACACACGCUCACUCGCAUAGUCUAAGAAUUUCACUUUGACUUAACAAAUAGAAAAUCAUUUAUUCUGCAUGCGCAGCUCCGUCCCUGACAGCUGCCUCGGCGGAAAAUUGUUUCCCCGCUAACGCGUUUCGAUUUCGGCAGACUCUCUGAAUGGGGUCUCUGUGAUUUCCGACUGUCCCCGCAUUCUCAGCCAUCAAACUGGGAGAUUUAUGCGCAUUUUGCAUAUUUUCUUUGUGUGGCUUUCAAAGCCAGCGAAAAUGGCCCAUCAAGUCAAGUCGAGACGAACUCCAGGGAGACUGUGAAAAACUCGCUCAAUUUUCAUUGCGCGACUUUUAUGACUUUGUCUGCUGCUGUCUUUGGCCUUUAUCGAAUGCAAAUUGUUUUAUAAUAAUGUAAUCAAAUCAUUGUGAACUCUGUUUA